rnacentral:rRNA from 1 species
AUGAAGUGGCGCCAAGCUUCUGGCAUUCUCUAUGACAAGAGAGUGCCACAAAAGCUAAAAGGCAAGUUCUACAGGAUGGCGGUUCGACCCGCAAUGUUGUAUGGCGCUGAGUGUUGGCCGACUAAAAGGCGACAUGUUCAACAGUUAGGUGUGGCGGAGAUGCGUAUGUUGAGAUGGAUGUGUGCCACACGAGGAAGGAUCGAGUCCGGAAUGAUGAUAUAUGAGAUAGAGUUGGGGUAG